ACACACAGAGAGAGAGAGAGAGGCUACAAUGCUUUCGCCGGGAAAGGGGGACCACUGCCGUUCACCAUCUAUCGCCGCCGUUCGCCGUUGGUCUUUCGGCUCUAAACUUCAGGAAAGUUUCGUCUCGACGCCAGUAGCUCAGAUCCGGCCUUGGUUUCGCGAGAAAUGAUCCACAAGUCUACGAAAUAACCAAAGACUUCUCGGUUCUCUGCUUCUCCGAUCUGGUUAUUCAACCGUUAGAUCGAAUUGGUUUCAAAAUGUUACUCCCCUCACCAUGAUGUAUCUCCUAACCGUCCAGAUCUGCUUUCUUAUCACCGGAGCUGACGUAGUUGGAGACCCGACGGGUGAAUCAGAGGAGUGGAAAUUGCAGGGAGAUGGUAGCACAGUGAUGGCAUUGAAUUCCCGGGAUUGUCAUACAUGGACAAUGUUCGAUAAUUAUGUUUGAUUUACUGCCCGCUUGACAUACAAGAAUGUUCCCAGAUGGCAUCGUGAUCUUUGCAGG